AGAGAGAGAGAGAGAGUCUCAUUUCCAGGGGUGGGGAAGACAGGGUCUCAUAUAGCCAAGGCUGAUAUUGAACUCCCUUGUAGCCAAGAACAUCUACUUCCCCACCCUUUGCCUCCUGAGUGCUAUCAUGCUCAAUGUAUGUGACUAUUGUAUAGGACCAUGGUCCAAAGCUAAACUGUCGCCAUCUUCAGGAGUUUGGUUAGGCUUGCUUGCCAAAGAGCACCACAGCUGGGCUUGUUGACUGUUGACAUUCCCUGAUGGAAGAAGGGGGUGGGAAGGCCAGGGAGCCUGCACCUGAAUGUCCAGCCAGCCCUCCCAAGCAGCUGUAAGCAAUACUUCCCUAAUUGUAUGUGAUGUCUUCCUCUCUUCGAAAACUGGAGGAUACAGGUGGGGGAAGGAUGAGGUGGAAGGGACUCCAUCUAUAAAGGCAUGAAGAUUCCUUAUCUAUACCUGCUACAGACUGUCCAGUGUGGUGGUUUUAAGGUCAUUACUCUGAAGCUAAGCCUAGUAAACUCAUUAUUGGUUCCUAGAGUAAACUUUGGUUGUACUGAUUCUUGCUUUGUUGUGGAGACCUUAAAAGAGAUGAGAUAUUCUGUUUUCCGCAAGGGACAGAAUUGUAGCAACAGGAAUUUCUCAAUGCGGAAACUUUGGUAGAAGCUAGGACUUUGCGGAGCUGCUAGACAGCUGAGCUACAUCCCCAGCCAAGUGCCUCUAAUGCAUGCCUCCCACUCUGGGUUUCACAAACAGGAACAGGACAUCUUUCUGUGUUCGUAAAAGUUUGAAGAAUGCUACACCGUCCUCCCCUGUCUUACGCCCAGUGCACAGCAGUGUGUUAAAGGCACUGAACUGGCCUGCUCUAAGAAUCCUGGUUAAUUUAGUUUAACUAUAUCAAAUCCAAUUGGUCAUGAAAUCCCAUCCUGUCACCACAUGGUAUUCACAGCCUGUUCUUCAGAACACAGUGGAGAGGAAGUUGAUUCCUGUCCCUUUAUGCAUGUGAGGCCAUCCACACCCAGAAACUUUACAUGAAUUGCCCAAAGUUAUCUUGCCUCCUGGUGGCGCCUACUCUUGUCAGCAAGUCCCAGAUUCUUCACUGAGCUGUAGGGCAUUGAAAGCCGGAGUCAGCAGCCUCCACUCAUGUUCUUCCUAUCCAGUUUCUGUAGCCGUGGACUCCGGAGAAGUUUCUUUAAUGUCCUCCGGCCUCCCUUGGCUCAUUAGACAUAUGCAGAUAACAUGGUAUACACCUAGUGAAGCUCUUGUGAUUAAGCAACUGAUAAAAUAAAAUAUGUCCAAUAGCACCAGGCACCAAGUAACAGAUUAAUGGCCACCAUGCCUCCUGGGGUUUUGAAUAAAAUGUAGUUGACCUGCAUGUCCAUGCCACUGGAGAUGAGGGCUACUGUUUGGUUGCAAGGCCCACUAGAGCCUUGCUGGAGGGAGGCCAGAGCCUGGAAGGCAGCUCUGGCGAGGCCUGUUUGGUGACCAAUGGACUCAGAUGGGAACACCUCAUCUAAGCACAGAGGAAUCUAUGCUGAAGUUGUCAUUUUAGAAAACUAGAGAGACGUGGAGGUGUAGGCACGACUGCACAAUACAAGGGUAUUUGCUUUUGAACCAGAGGGCUCUGGCGUCAAACUCAGGCCACACCUCUUCCAAAGUGCCCGAUUCUGAUGCAGUCACAUAGCUCCUCUCAGUCUGUGUUUCUCAUUUGUUACACAAAGGGCAUCGUAGCUUCUGAAUGAAGGCAAUUCUACUUCUGAAGCCUGCUGGGACAUGCAAAGGAACAUUAGCUAAUAUUUAGUUAGCAUUCACUCAGUGUCUUAUGGGCUCUAGUCUAGUGACCAGGGGCAAAUUCAUGUCACCACAGGGAAGGAACUUGUUCUCAUGGAUCUUACAUUCUAGAAGGGGGAGGAGUACCACACCAACAAGCAGAGAAAUGGAGAGAAAACAAAACAGAAUGUAACAGUGGGGCAUAAAGAAACUAAGACGUGGCCAGAGAGAGGCUGAAUAUUCAGAUCUCUGGAAAGCAUCCUCGGUCAUGAUGACGCUUUGGUCUGAUUGCCUUUCCAGAUGCAGCCCUCUCCAGGUCUCUCCUUCUUCUGGGUUCCAUGGAGACAGAGACACCCGUGGGGCAGCUCCAUGGUGGGGAGAACCCCAGGCUGACUGACUGCUGGCUAACUCUGCCGUCACUGUCACACUGGCGUGGAUGCUCUUUUCCUGAGUCUUCGAAGCACUCCAGCCAUCCCCUCGGAGAAUCGGAGGCUGUCUGUGACCGUGUGAAGAAGAUGUUGAUGUACUAUUUCUGAAUGUCCAUGGAUAUUGGAAGUUAGCUUGGGCCCUCCUGAGAGUGGAAAUUCUGAAGAGGAGACAGACCAUCACGAUCUGGCUGUGAAGUAAAGAAGAAUUUCAAGAGGCUCUCUGUCUUCAUGAUACCUGUGCCAUUGAAGUCCUGCAGUAACUCACAAGGCUAUUGAUCGCUCUCCACAACCUGAUGGUAACGCCUUGUCGCUGAAGACAACACUUACUCCUAAAGAAGAUAAGCUUGUGCCCAGCUAGACGCCUCACCCCCUACUGACCAUCCUUCAUGAUGCUGACUCUGCUUCCUGCAUCCCAUAGUCUAUACCAGCUAUCUACCCCUCUCUGCUCUUCUCUUUGAUGCCUACUGCUGUUCUAGGAAGCCUGGAGCAGCUAGACAGCAGAGCAUCUGGAACCCAGUGGGAAUCACACAGGAGGAAGCUUAGGCGGGGAAAUCAGAAUAAACCAAACCAUAUGGAAGUGGGGGCUGGCUGUGGGAGUUGGUGACUUGCCUCCUCCACGGAUCAAACAUUGGUUUUAAUGUGGCUUCCAUAGAACAAUGAAGACUGGAAAGUGGCCAAGAAGUCAGGACGAAGAUGCUGGUUUAACUGGUUUGGAAGCAGUUUUAAUGGAGAUGAAAAUGUUUUAUCGACUCAACACAGGUACCCCCAAAAUACAAAUCAAAAUAUCAUCUUCAGCUGCAUAGCAAAUAGGAUUUAAGAAUUUAACAUCAUUAUUUGAUCACAAGCGUAAAUAUAAGUUCACCAUAAAUAAAUGUAAAUUCAUUGUACAAAAAAUCCCCAACAACUCUUAAUACAAAUAUGGUACACAUUUGACAAUUUCUGAAACAGAAUUCUUUUUAAAACAUUUUAAAAUCUAAGCUUUUUUCUUGAUCUUUAAAUACAUUAAAAAAAAAA